UUGUGAAUUCCGGACGACAGCUAGAAGGCUGUAUACUUCUCCACUACACGCGUGGCAAUUUUAUCUGAGAGUGCCGUGAACCGGUCGCUCGAAUACAGAAAUCGGAAAUUCUACCACGCUUAACCCAACUCCUCGCCAUGGCCUUGCGCGGUAGUUCAGGUUAUGAAGAAUCUGGAAUAACAGGAUACAAUUCACGCUGUGAAUAUGAAGAGCUCCUGAACAUACUCAAUGGCAGUAUGAUCAA